rnacentral:ncRNA from 2 species
AAUAUGUGCUAGGGGUGCCUUUUGGCUGAGAGAUGAUUAAAUUCAUUAACCCUUUUACCUGAUCUGGCUAAUACCAGCGUAGGGAAGCGUUUAAAAUAAGUA